UACCCAACAACUCCUAUCCCCACUUCCUCGUGGUAGUAGCCGGGGUACGAGCAACAAUAGGGAAGAUCGGGUACCCAAUCCUGGUGGGACUUUUGGUCGUAAACUAACAGGGAAGU
rnacentral:ribozyme from 1 species